rnacentral:rRNA from 1 species
UACGUAGGGUGCGAGCGUUGUCCGGAAUUAUUGGGCGUAAAGGGUGCGUAGGUGGCCAGGUAAGUUUGGUGUGAAAGCUCGGAGCUUAACUCCGAAAAGUCAUUGAAUACUAUCUGGCUGGAGGGUCGGAGGGGAGACUGGAAUUCUCGGUGUAGCAGUGAAAUGCGUAGAUAUCGAGAGGAACACCAGUGGCGAAGGCGAGUCUCUGGACGACUCCUGACACUGAGGCACGAAAGCUAGGGGAGCAAACAGG